rnacentral:rRNA from 1 species
CAAUAAGCGGAGGAAAAGAAACCAACAGGGAUUGCCCUAGUAACGGCGAGUGAAGCGGCAACAGCUCAAAUUUGAAAUCUGGCGCAAGCCCGAGUUGUAAUUUGUAGAGGAUGCUUCAGGGCAGCGGCCGGUCUAAGUUCCUUGGAACAGGACGUCAUAGAGGGUGAGAAUCCCGUAUGCGACCGGUUGGCACCCGUCACGUAGCUCCUUCGACGAGUCGAGUUGUUUGGGAAUGCAGCUCUAAAUGGGAGGUAAAUUUCUUCUAAAGCUAAAUACCGGCCAGAGACCGAUAGCGCACAAGUAGAGUGAUCGAAAGAUGAAAAGCACUUUGGAAAGAGAGUUAAAAAGCACGUGAAAUUGUUGAAAGGGAAGCGCAUGCAACCAGACUUGUCGGCGGUGUUCCACCGGUCUUCUGACCGGUUCAUUCGCCGCCGGCAGGCCAGCAUCAUCUGGGAGCGCCGGAUAAAGGCGUAGGGAAUGUGGCUCCUCGGAGUGUUAUAGCCCUUCGCACAAUACGGCGCCUCUCGGGUGAGGUCCGCGCUUCGGCUAGGAUGCUGGCGUAAUGGUUGUCUGCGGCCCGUCUUGAAACACGGACCAAGGAGUCUAACAUCUAUGCGAGUGUUCGGGUGUCAAACCCCUACGCGUAAUGAAAGUGAACGGAGGUGGGAAGCGCAAGCUGCACCAUCGACCGAUCCUGAUGUCUUCGGAUGGAUUUGAGUAAGAGCAUAGCUGUUGGGACCCGAAAGAUGGUGAACUAUGCCUGAAUAGGGUGAAGCCAGAGGAAACUCUGGUGGAGGCUCGCAGCGGUUCUGACGUGCAAAUCGAUCGUCAAAUUUGGGUAUAGGGGCGAAAGACUAAUCGAACCAUCUAGUAGCUGGUUCCUGCCGAAG